AUGGACGAUCAGAGUUAUUUUGAUCUUUUGCAAAAUGAUGUCGGAUUGAAUGAUUUGCAUUGGACCGAAGAACAACAUGUCGAUCUUGAAGGGCCUGAAGAACAACAAACUGAUCUUGAGGGGCAUGACGAAGAACAAACUGAUCUCGAAGGGCCUACAGAACCUACCCCUCCUAUGACAGCAAGGUCUUCGAAAGCAAAGGCGAAGAAAGUAAGCGCUUCCAAAGCAAGUGCUUCGAAGAGGCAAAAGAAUUUCAGCAAGGCUGAAGACUUAACUUUGGUGGAUGCGUACCUCGAGAUAGCUCAAGAUCCAAUCAUAGGAGUAGACCAAUCUCGUGAUUGUUAUUGGAAAAGAAUCGAUGCUUACUUCCAUGCCAAUAAAUCUGAAGACCAUGGUCGCACACAAGGUUCUCUUCAGCAUCGUUGGGCUAUUAUUUAA
rnacentral:rRNA from 1 species